AUGUUGGUAAUGAAGUGAUACGUCCUUGUGUGUUAGUUUAGUAGAAGAUAAAGAAGGAGUUAUUAGUCAAGGUGAAUUAUUAUUUGCUUGAAGUAUGAAAAUGGCUAGACUAGCCAGUAAUUUAGGAUUAUAGACUCAUGAUUGUUUGUGGAAUUUGAAUAUAGUCUAAAUGUAUGCUUGGGUAAGUAGGUGUGAUGUGAGAAAACUAUAUAAGUCGAUAAGAUUGUACGGGGUUAUGAUAUAAGAUUAAGGGUGACCAUGUCUAUUAUGUGACUUUACCCCCCCCC
rnacentral:lncRNA from 1 species